AUAAAAAAAUGGAGUCACAAUCAGUUAUGAAAAAAAAUCAUGCUUCUAACAUUGUAUAUUUUGUUGUAUUUAAAUUUCAGAGGAACAAUAUAUAUGUAAUAUGUAUGGCUCAUGUGACAUUUUCCAAACAACAAAGGCGGUCCUCCAGUAUGAGGACCCCUAGUGGUCAGUGGAGGAAACAGUCCUGAACAUAGAACUUUCAUCCAACCAAUAUUUCUGCAGUUUUUUUUUUUGUUUUUUUUAUGCUUCGUGUAUUUUUUAUGAUUUGAAUUUGGUUUUCACUUAUGUUACGCAUAAGCAUCAAAAUGAGCACACAUAGAUCCAAAUACAUCACAGUGUAUCGCCCAACUGUGUGAUGAAAUUAGACGUACAAAUUCCUACUUUUUCAUGAUAUUCACUUUUAAUGAGAGUCACCUGUAAGUUAAAGACAACAUCAACAAAAAAAUAAAAAUUAAAAAGUACAGCCUAAGCCACUCUA